AGCCCGGCGUCAUUGGCGUUUUUUUCCGGAGUGCGACUGAGGAGAGCCUGCGAGUCCUUCGCACGCUGCAGCGUGGGCUUCCCCCGCUGGGCGACCGGCGGCUGGGAGGCUGGGCCGCUUCAGCCCGGUGGGUGGCCGCGUCGGCCACUGCGUGCAGUGGACCGUGCGACGRUUUCUGCCCGCCGGGAUGGAGGCUGGCCGCACCUCGCGCUGUGGUCGUUGGUGCCC
rnacentral:sRNA from 1 species